AUGAAUGCCACAAAAUCAAGGAAAUAUGUUAGCGCAAGGGAGUACUAUGCCUUCAAACUGCAGGUCCGGAAGAAGCUUUUUAACAUCAUCUUGUUUGGGGGGCGCCUCUUCCAACAGUGGGCGGUUGACAUGUACAUCAAGAUUGAGACAAUGAGGCUUGACUGGUACUCAAAGCCAGCAAAUCAAAAGGUCAUACGCGCUGACCUCUACCAGGGCCUUGUUGACACCGUAAUCGCUGGCGAGUCACGCGGUGAUCGUAUUGGGAAGAGAAUCGUGCUUCCACGUACCUUUCCUGGUGGUGACCGU
rnacentral:rRNA from 1 species